UCCUCCGUGGGUCAGGACUGUUCGUUGGCCUAGGCUCAGCCGGGAGGGCAGUUACUGGAAUGUUCGGGGUCGGUGGGGGGCACCCACAGUCAGUAGGGUUAGGCCACAUAGGGACACAGUGUGUAGAGCCGCCCUGGGCCUGGGGAAGCCCUGACACCUGCUGCUUGUGGUGGGCAGAGGAGGAGCCCAAGAGCAGACUGAGGCCACUGGAGAGGCUGACAGGCUGACAGGUUCCCUGGGGACCAGGAUAGGGGACCCACCCCCUCCCCCGACAUCCCUGUGCUCCGCAUGGGCAAGGACAGACAGACAGCUCCUCGAGGGCUCAUGGCUACAAGAGCCAGCCACACCUGCCCCUGCAGCUGGGGCAGAGAGGCUCAGAGGAGGUGAAGGGACUGAAGGACCCGCUCACCAGGCUCCGCCCACUCCCAGCGCCCGGCAGGUCCCCAGCACCUUCCUCCAGGGCCUCCUGCACUGGCAGCUCCUCUGAAGGUCUUCAGUGACAGGUGUGGAUCCGGUUUGGAUGCGGAUGGAGUGGAAGGAGGCGGCCCCAUGGGUGGCUCCCGCCCCCCACAAGAUGCCCCGCCCCCCUCCUGUGGGCUCAGCUUCAGUUUUCCAGGAUAAGGGAGGCCUCAAGGGCACAGAUGCCUCCUCCCUGUCCCACGGGGGCAGGACAGGACUUGGCGGCCCCUGGAGAGAUCCUGUGCCUUCUGGCUUCCCCUGGAAACGUGUGCCUGGCAGGCCUCCCUUGUGCUGCGCUCCUGGUCUCAGCCCUCCCUUCUGCCAGGAA